CCUUAGCACCUACUACAUGCCAGCUACCACGUGAAGGCAGUUUAGGGCUUUAUCUCCUUUAAUCCUCUUCGCAACUUGUCAACGUGGGAGGGUUAUUUCUACUUUUUCCAGAUAAGAAAGUAUAAAUUCGAGGAUGCCCAUAAGGUAUUGUGGCUAGAAAUUGGCAGAGGCAGAAUCUGAGCCCAGGUCUGACUGCCUGAAAGUACAUUUUUGUCCCACUACAUGGAUGACAGUCUUUGGCCCGAUGUGAUAAAUGCGUCAAGAAAGUGUCAGCAGUUGCCUGCAGGAUUCAGAGGAGGGAAAAUUACUCUGGCGGGGAGUUGGCCGUGAGGGUGAUCAGGGAGGUCUUCUCUGAGGAGGAGGUACUGGAGGUGGCCGCGAAGGCUUCCGCAGGCAGAGAGGAUGGGACAAGGCAAGCGUGUGAGGACAGGGCAGAGGCUCCUGCUCUCCCCUCAGUGACAGCUGCUCGUGAGGGCCGGUGUGUGCUGGGAAUGCUUAGCUGUCGAGUAGAUGAGAGGAGGGGACACAAUGUGAUCUGGAUGAAGGGUUCAAGCGGGAAGAAUCGUAUGGAGGGCAUGUGCUCAGAUGCAGAGAAAAACCCUUAGACAAUUGAAACCUGGGAGCCACCAUAAGGACGGAGCCCCAGGUGGUGGCAGAGUGGACCAAGUGUGGCCUCCCAUGUGGCCACAGCUUCCCUUUGGCCUCUUCUUUUGACUGGUCCCCUCCUCCGUGGCUGCUUUUCAGAUCUCUCCCAUAUACCGGCCUUGAAAUAACCUUAUACAAGUUUCGGUCUUUCAGGGAGCGUGACGGUGCAGGGGUGAGGCUGUCCUUAGGAGGGUCCCCACAUUUCUGAACCUGUCGUUCUUAUUUCUCUCCAGAGAGGGGCAGGAGAUGCUGAGGUGCUCACCGGUGUCAGGGUUUGCUGUCAUGGCUGGCCUUUGCAGAGAAGAGUGUCGCGAUGAACACGAGAGUUACAAACUUCCAGCAACUGGAUUUACCUGAAGUCGUCAUGCCCACCUCCUCCCCAGCAGGUGGCUUGGGAUGCUAUGAUGCCAAGUAGGAUCCCGUUGUCACACACAGGCAGGUGCUGCGGGCGCCCUACGGAAUAAGCUGCUGCCCUUUGGCGUGAAGCUGCCCACGCCAGCCCAGGACUCUGGAAGUGGACGGAGGAGAUGCCAGGAGCUGCAGGAGCUGCGAGCAGGCUGCGGCCCAGCAUCCGCAGACAACGAUUAAGGAGCCAGAGGGCAGAGUCAAGAUUCCAGAGGGCAGAGCCAAAUCCAUGGACAACAACUCCCGAGGAGUAAGACAGAGCUCUAAGGAACUUGCAACCUGUGCCCAGCUAGAUUUCAGAAUUGCAGUAUCUCCGCCAUGCCUCCUAUUUUCUCCCUGUUUGAUAGGGGCAUUGUAGCCGUUACCCUAAUCCUGCCCUGCCGUUGUACGCUGGGGGUGGUGGGGAGGCAGGUGAUGUGCCUGUGUAGUUCACAGGUCUUCAAAUAGAGAAGAGUACCCAGGAACCUUACCUGGGGAGUGUUAUGCACGCCUGGAUUUGAUUUAUAUGAAGAAAUUGAACUCUGAGCUUGAUGAUUUAAUGAAAUGAGAUUUUGGGCACUGUGCACAAGAGCUGUUGAGACCAAAGGGCAAAUGUACCAUCUCCAAAGAUGGUCACAACAGCUCCCAUCCCGAAGGUCUCCUACAGAGCCAUCAAGAGGUGGGGUCUAAUUCUCCUCUGUGUGAACCUAUGUCUGCUUUGACCAACAGGAAGUGAUGCUGUAUAACUUCCAGGGCUGGCUUCUAAAGGCCAUGCAACUGCCACCUUGUUUGCCAGAACCACACUUGGAGCCCCGAGCUGCCAUGUGAGAAGUCUGACUACUUUGAGGCCACCAUGCUGGGAGGAAGUUAGGGCUACAGGCAGAGAUCACAUGUGGGCACUCUGUUGGAAAUUUACAGACAUGUGAAGGUGCCUCCAGAUGAUUCCAGCCCCGGAGCUUCCCAGCUGAGGCCCCAGACAUUCUAGAGCAAUGAUAAGCCACCCUCACUGUCUGAAUUCCUAACUCAUGAAAUCCAAUAAAUAGCGUAACAAAAUGUCUAUAACGUCACUAAGUUCUAGGGUAUUUGUUACAUAGCAACUGUAACCAGAACAGAUGGAUUGAUACACGGAUAGAAAGACAUAGGUAGAUGAACAGAUAUGUUGUAAAGCAAAUAAAUAUAGUAAAAUGUCCAUUGUAGAAUCUAGGUGAAACAUGUGUGGGUGUUCACUGUACAAGUCUUUCAGCUUUCCUGCAUAUUUAAAAAUUUUUACAAUAAAAAUUGGCAGGCGGGAAGGAUGGCCAGGCAAAACUAGCUAGCAUUUAUUGAGUCUUGCCUUGUGCUGGGUCCUGUCAAACACUUCGACAUCCAUUAUCUCAUUUAAUCUUCUCAGCAGCCCCUAGCAUUUUCUCCAUUUUACAGAUGAGGAAACUGAGGCACAGAGGGGUCCUAACAUACCAAUGGUAGUCAUGUUAAAACAGCAAAUGGCUUAUAAGGCCUCCUUUAUUUUUAUACUCUUCCAAAUUUGGAUUGUGUUUUUUGUAAGAGAAAAAAAAUAAAGUUCUUAUUAAAGUUCUCUUCCUUCCCAGCGUUCUUGGCAACUGCACAUUUCUUUGCCAGGUGCUAAGAAAACCUCCCUUGCACGCCGGCUCCAAAAGUAGCGAAAAGUUGUCAUAUUGAUUGUCUCCUCCUGCUCUGGCCGCACUCUGGAGGUAGGUCGGGCUCUUCUUAGGCAUAAAAACACUGUAGGGCUCAGAGACUUUAAAUCAGUUGACCGAGGUCACUCAGGAUUAAGGGACGGGGCAGAGCUCGCACUGGCGUCCCCCGAUGCGGAGUCCCGUGUGUUCGGCUUGCGUUUCUCUUAGUUGGUCUCCGGACUGUUUUCCGAGUAAACCACGGCUGGCAACUAAGCUGCACUUGCUCUGCGAUGCCCGUGGUUUCGGGACCGUCGUGCUUCCAGAGCAGCAUCCCCGCGCGGCCCAGUCUCGAAGCGCUUUGGAGCCGGCGUGGACAGGCACCCUUGGCCACCUGCGCGCCUCCGCAGGAAGGGAUGCUUUGCGUCUGGGUUUCCGUUUUCGCUGAGGGCCUGCACGAUGCCUGAAUGUCUCACCUGGGAUGCUUGGUUGGUGGCCCCAGGGAGGCCGUGCGCGCAGGGGCCUGGGGAUACCCGUCUUCCCCAGCAGGGGUGGGCUCCGGUUCUGCGUAGAGGAGGCAGGCGAGGAUGCGCGGUCCAUACCGUCAGCAGGGCUGCAACCUGGGCAAGGCCCGGCUGGCUCAGGAGCUGCACGCCGCCGUCUGGUUUCCCGCGGGCUUUUCCCAGAGAGCCUCGGCCCAAGGUUCUUGUCCCCGCCUGGGGUCGCCUGAGCUCUCCGGCUCCAGAAAGCUUUGCUGGACCACGUGGGGGAAGGGCGGCGGGCAGCUGUGCCUCGGCUGCUGUCUGCCAGAGCCCCGGGCGAGGGUCAGUGCCCAGCUCGGAUUGCGCGUGGGUGGGUGGGGGUGGGGCGCCUUCCGAAUUUCUCCCUUCCCUCUCUGCUUCCCCACUGAGGCUCCGCGGAGUCAGAUACUGGGGACCGGAGGACAGAGCCCAGGUGUGGCGGAGGGGUGGGGGAGCGUACUGUGCGCUGGACGGGCAUAGAAGGGGGCGGCCUGGGCCCAUACCAGUUGCUGGUCCGCGUAACCGCGCCCCCAUCUGAGCUGCGC